GUGGGGCCAGGACGCGGCCGUCUCGAAGGCGGGCCUCACUACCAUUAUUUCCUACUAAGGCACUCCAUACAUUGCGAGUUAUCAGUAGCAGCGCUGGCAAACUACGCAAGGGAAGGGAGCCAGGCGAGAUGGAGCGCCUGACAGAUAAGGUCCGGGACACGGUGGCGACCCAUAUGCCCUCGAAGGGCAACCCGGGCGGACAGAAGAAGAAGAGGCGCAAAAAG